UACGAAGGGGGCUAGCGUUGCUCGGAAUGACUGGGCGUAAAGGGCGCGUAGGCGGAUGGCACAGUCAGAUGUGAAAUUCCCGGGCUUAACCUGGGGGCUGCAUUUGAUACGUGUGAUCUAGAGUGAGGAAGAGGGUCGUGGAAUUCCCAGUGUAGAGGUGAAAUUCGUAGAUAUUGGGAAGAACACCGGUGGCGAAGGCGGCUCACUGGCUCGUAACUGACGCUCAUGCACGACAGCGUGGGGAUCAAACAGG
rnacentral:rRNA from 1 species